rnacentral:rRNA from 1 species
AUGUACAAUCCUACAACGUUGAUGCAUUGGAUCCCAUAAGAACUUCGCAGUUAAGUGUGCUUGGGCUAGAGUAGUAUUGGGAUGGGUGCCUCCCAGGAAGACCUAGUGUUUUACAUG